UACGUAGGGUGCAAGCGUUAAUCGGAAUUACUGGGCGUAAAGCGUGCGCAGGCGGUUCUAUAAGACAGAUGUGAAAUCCCCGGGCUCAACCUGGGAACUGCAUUUGUGACUGCAUCGCUGGAGUGCGGCAGAGGGGGAUGGAAUUCCGCGUGUAGCAGUGAAAUGCGUAGAUAUGUGGAGGAACACCGAUGGCGAAGGCAGGUCUCUGGGCUGACACUGACGCUCAUGCACGAAAGCGUGGGGAGCAAACAGG
rnacentral:rRNA from 1 species